rnacentral:rRNA from 1 species
UUAUUGAAACUGGAAUGAAAGGCUUAACAAAUGCAUAAUUUUUUAUUUAAAAUAACUAAAAUUUUUAUUUUUUGUAAGAAUACAUAAAUAUUUAAAAGGGACGAUAAGACCCUAAAAGCUUUAUUAGUUAAAUUUUUAUUAUUAUUUUAAUUUGAUUAUUUAAUGUAUUUUAACUGGGGCGGUUGUUUUUAUAACAAAAGUUUUUUUUACAAAUAGGUUAAAAGAUCCUUAAAAUUAGGAUAGGUUGUUUAAGUUACUUUAGGGGUAACAGCGUAAUAAUAAUAGGGAGACCUUAUUUAUAUUAUUGAUUGCGACCUCGAUGUUGAAUUAAAUAUUUCCAUAUAAAGCAGAAAUUAUGUGUGAAAGUUUGUUCAACUUUUAAAGAUUUACAUGAUCUGA